AAAAUUCUGUACCCGGAACCUGUAGGGUACCCUGUUAGAACAGGUUCCGGUUCCGGGUACCCUGUUACCCUAUAAGGUACCCGAAACCUGUAAUUGAAGCCCAAAUAUGCAAGCCCAAUAUCAAAAUUACAAAUAUAAGUAAGCCUAAAAGUAAACAAAAACCCUAAGCACAUUCUCAUUUCUCAUUUUCAUCAGCCGUCAUCUACUACAAAACCCUCCUAUAUUGGCAUUAUAAAUGGAUAGUGAAAGCAAAGAAGAUGGAGCUUCAAGCAAGAGAACAACAAGCAAAAAGGCUGGUGAUAAGUGAAAGUCAGAGGUUUGGCACCAUUAUUGGGAUGUAAGAGAUCUAGAAACGGGUAUCAAAAAUUUUACUUCCUGGGCUAUCAAGAUUUAAGAUGCAAGUAUGAGAUUGUGUAAUAAUAUUUGUAUUUUUAUCAUAUAAGUUAAGUAUUUGUAUUAAAUGUACUAGACAGUAGACAUUAGUGUUGGAUUGUUAUUCGUAAGCUUUUAAUUUAU